rnacentral:rRNA from 1 species
UGGGGAAUAUUGCACAAUGGGGGAAACCCUGAUGCAGCGACGCCGCGUGAGUGAAGAAGUAUUUCGGUAUGUAAAGCUCUAUCAGCAGGGAAGAAACAAUGACGGUACCUGACUAAGAAGCCCCGGCUAACUACGUGCCAGCAGCCGCGGUAAUACGUAGGUGGCAAGCGUUGUCCGGAUUUACUGGGUGUAAAGGGCGUGUAGGCGGGUAGGUAAGUCAGAUGUGAAAAUACCGGGGCUCAACCCCGGGGCUGCAUUUGAAACUGCGUAUCUUGAGUAUCGGAGAGGAAAGCGGAAUUCCUAGUGUAGCGGUGAAAUGCGUAGAUAUUAGGAGGAACACCGGUGGCGAAGGCGGCUUUCUGGACGACAACUGACGCUGAGGCGCGAAAGCGUGGGUAGCAAACAGGAUUAGAUACCCUGGUAGU